GUAGGUGGCAAGCGUUGUCCGGAAUUAUUGGGCGUAAAGCGCGCGCAGGCGGGGUCCUUUAAGUCUGAUGUGAAAGCCCACGGGCUCAACCGUGGAGGGUCAUUGGAAACUGGGGGACUUGAGUACAGAAGAGGAAAGCGGAAUUCCAAGUGUAGCGGUGAAGUGCGUAGAGAUUUGGAGGAACACCAGUGGCGAAGGCGGCUUUCUGGUCUGUAACUGACGCUGAGGCGCGAAAGCGUGGGGAGCAAACAGGAUUAGAUACCCUGGUAGUCCACGCCGUAAACGAUGAGUGCUAAGUGUUAGGGGGUUUCCGCCCCUUAGUGCUGCAGCUAACGCAUUAAGCACUCCGCCUGGGGAGUACGGCCGCAAAGGCUG
rnacentral:rRNA from 1 species